UAAAUUAGCAAGGGAUUUCGAUGAAAAUACCUCUCCACUUUUUCCUCAUCCAUUUUAAAACCUUCAACUUAAUUAUGUAAUUAAACACCAAAACCACUGAGAAUAAAAAAUAAUCAAAAAACGUAACAAACACGACAAAAAAAUCGGCCGAUGGUAUACAGAAAGCCGGAACUUUCCGGACGGCAAAGAAAGAUGGCGAAAAAAGAUUGAAAUCACUCUCUCUCUAAAGAAUUCUAGAGAGAUAAGAGAGAGGAUUCUCAGUUUUCCAAUUUAAUUUUUGAUAGAAAAAUAUCUCAACU
rnacentral:sRNA from 1 species